UGGGGAAUAUUGCACAAUGGGGGAAACCCUGAUGCAGCGACGCCGCGUGAGUGAAGAAGUAUUUCGGUAUGUAAAGCUCUAUCAGCAGGGAAGAUAAUGACGGUACCUGACUAAGAAGCCCCGGCUAACUACGUGCCAGCAGCCGCGGUAAUACGUAGGGGGCAAGCGUUAUCCGGAUUUACUGGGUGUAAAGGGAGCGUAGGUGGCAGGGCAAGUCAGAUGUGAAAACCCGGGGCUCAACCCCGGGAGUGCAUUUGAAACUGUCCGGCUGGAGUGCAGGAGAGGUAAGCGGAAUUCCUAGUGUAGCGGUGAAAUGCAUAGAUAUUAGGAGGAACACCAGUGGCGAAGGCGGCUUACUGGACUGUAACUGACACUGAGGCUCGAAAGCGUGGGGAGCAAACAGG
rnacentral:rRNA from 1 species